rnacentral:tRNA from 1 species
GUCGGCGUAGAGCAGUCCGGUAGCUCGCCAGCCUCACAAGCUGGAGGUCGCAUCUAAGCCGCGUGGCUCAUA